CCUGGGGACCCAAUAGUGCCUGUAGUUCCAGCUACUCAGAAGGCUGAGAUAGGAGGAUCACUUGAGUCCAGGAGUCUGGGCUGUAGGGCACUAUGCCAAUUGGGUGUCUGCACUGAGUUUGGCAUCCAUAUGGUGACUUCCUGGGAGCGGAGGGCUGCCAUGUUGCCUAAGGAGGGGUGAAUCGGCCCAGGUUGGAAAUGGAGUGGGUCAAAACUCGCUUGCUGAUCAGUAGUGAGAUCGCACCUGUGAAUAGCCACUGCACUCUAGCCUGGGCAACAUAGUGAGACCCCAUUUCUA
rfam:Otolemur garnettii contig143675, whole genome shotgun sequence.